rnacentral:rRNA from 1 species
UGGGGAAUAUUGGACAAUGGGCGCAAGCCUGAUCCAGCCAUGCCGCGUGGGUGAAGAAGGCCCUAGGGUUGUAAAGCCCUUUCAGCGGGGACGAUAAUGACGGUACCCGCAGAAGAAGCUCCGGCUAACUUCGUGCCAGCAGCCGCGGUAAUACGAAGGGAGCUAGCGUUGUUCGGAAUUACUGGGCGUAAAGGGCGCGUAGGCGGACAUCUAAGUCAGGGGUGAAAUCCCAGGGCUCAACCCUGGAAUUGCCUUUGAUACUGGACGUCUUGAGUUCGGGAGAGGUGAGUGGAAUUCCGAGUGUAGAGGUGAAAUUCGUAGAUAUUCGGAGGAACACCAGAAGCGAAGGCGGCUCACUGGCCCGAUACUGACGCUGAGGCGCGAAAGCGUGGGGAGCAAACAG